AAAGGAAUUGACGGGGGCCCGCACAAGCGGUGGAGCAUGUGGUUUAAUUCGAUGCAACGCGAAGAACCUUACCAGGGCUUGACAUCCUGCGAAUUCUGUGGAAACACAGGAGUGCCCUUCGGGGAGCGCAGAGACAGGUGGUGCAUGGUUGUCGUCAGCUCGUGUCGUGAGAUGUUGGGUUAAGUCCCGCAACGAGCGCAACCCUUGCCCUUAGUUGCCAUCACGUAGAGGUGGGCACUCUAAGGGGACUGCCGGUGACAAACCGGAGGAAGGUGGGGAUGACGUCAAAUCAUCAUGCCCUUUAUGUCCUGGGCUACACACGUGCUACAAUGGCCGGUACAGAGGGUAGCGAAGGGGUGACCUGUAGCCAAUCCCACAAAGCCGGCCCAAGUUCGGAUUGCAGGCUGCAAUUCGCCUGCAUGAAGUCGGAAUCGCUAGUAAUCGCGGAUCAGAAUGCCGCGGUGAAUACGUUCCCGGGCCUUGUACACACCGCCCGU
rnacentral:rRNA from 1 species